AACGAACGCUGGCGGCAGGCCUAAUACAUGCAAGUCGAACGCCUGUAGCAAUACAGGAGUGGCGCACGGGUGAAUAACACGUGGGAAUAUGCCUUUUGGUACGGGACAACGUCUGGAAACGGACGCUAAUACCGUAUGGUCCCUUCGGGGUAAAGAUUUAUCGCCAAAAGAUUAGCCCGCGUCUGAUUAGCUAGUUGGUGAGGUAACGGCUCACCAAGGCGGCAACCAGUAGCUGGUCUGAGAGGACGAUCAGCCACACUGGGACUGAGACACGGCCCAGACUCCUACGGGAGGCAGCAGUAGGGAAUAUUGGACAAUGGGCGCAAGCCUGAUCCAGCCAUGCCGCGUGAGUGAUGAAGGCCUUCGGGUUGUAAAGCUCUUUAGUCCGCGAAUAAAAUGACUGUAGCGGAAGAAUAAGCCCCGGCUAACUUCGUGCCAGCAGCCGCCGUAA
rnacentral:rRNA from 1 species